GCCAGCAGCCAUAUCAUCCUGCAACUCACAACUGGCAACCCACUGAAGCUCAGCAGGUGUGAGCCUGGUCAGUACCUGGAUGGGAGACCUCCUGGGAAAAACUAAGGUUGCUGCUGGAA
ensembl:rRNA 5S_rRNA 5S ribosomal RNA